GGAAAACAAGAGAAAAAUUAAGGGCUUUAUUGAGAAGAGGGUCACAAAACAAUAGAGGGACUCUAGGAACAAUAGCAAAAAUGACCAAGUAUAGACAAGUUCUUAUUUGCAUUUGUAGCCUCUAAUGAACAAAAAUUAAAAUAAAUAGAAGAAAUAAAAGGGAACAAAUGAAUAAGUAUAUUGCUAAAAAAUACACAGUGAACCUUGAGCUGACUAUUGCCAAUCAGCUAAAGUGUAGAAUUUUCUGUAACAUAUCAGCUACCGUCUGUGGCCCAAGACCAUAUUCUGUAACUUGAUUCUGAUUGGGCAGAAAACCAAACAGGGAGCGCUUCAAAUGCAUGACAAUUACUGACAACAAAAUUCAUGUUAAUCAACCAUCACCUGCGCUGCGCAGAAACUCUGUGUUGAUGAGCCUUAAUAUCAUUUUGAAUUCUAUCAGCAUACAUUGGCAAGUGAAUGAUCUCAUCAAUCUCCUUGAACAAGACUUCCUCAUUAAUGUUAUCCCUUAUACUCCGCAUUACCUUUUUGUAGGUAUUGAACUCAUUUGGGGUUGAUUUGUCUGCCCUAAUCCGCAUAAAGACCCAUAACUGCCUCUCAGAAUCCCAAGAGCACUCUAUGAUCUUCCCUACAUACGAAGACAGAUCUGAUACAUCAUUAAAGACAAUUCUAUUUCUCUCCAUUAGCUUCUUUCUUCCACGUUCAUUCAGAAAAAGAAGUUGUUGAUUUUGAACUCCCAACUCAAAAAGAAAGUCAACUGAGUUCAUAUGAAGAUAUUUCCACUUUAGAAGCCCUUCAUGUGUGCGGGGCACAUAAGGAUCAUCCCAUCCCUGAAAAAGCAAAACAGUUAAGAGUAUCUGCUCCACUUGAUAUAUCGAAGGCUCCAUCAUAAUAAACAUAUAAGCAUUUUACACUUGCUAAAUGAAUGGUUAGUGCAACAUAAAGAAAAGUUUUACAGCAAUUGAAUUGUGCUAAUACAGCAUUGACUAACAGGAGUUGAACAACGUUGCUGAAACAUCAUCAUGAAGUUCUGCAGGUUGGUAAAAUUGAAUUAAACUUAACCGGAAUCGGUUUCAUCCCCCAAUUUCCUUUUUCAUGUGAUCUAUAUUUAUAUCACAGAUCAUAUGGAAAAAAUGAAAAAGCAGGAAAAGAAGUGGGGUGGGGGAAGAGAAGGGAGGUAGAGAUUGAGAGAGAUUGACCAAAAACAGAAGCAAGUGCAGAUCCUGACAGAUUCAGUAAUUCGUAAAGCAGUUCAUUAUUUGGUCUCUGUUAUUCCUAACUAGGUAUAACUGAUUUGACUGUCCCUAUACUCAAGCUGCUUCUUAAGCACCUGAAAUAUGAGACCAUCAGCUUCAUGUGAAAGUCUAGGAAUAAAUUGCUUUAGAAGCUUGUCGACAGUAGAAAGCAACCAGAAGUCCUUUCUUCUCACACUAAAUGGUUCCAAGUCAUAUCUAUAGUAUGGAUUCACGCUCUUGGAAAGAGACUCUCGCUCCAAAUUUCGAGGUUCAAUUACUUCUUUAACAAGUAUCCUCCACCUCUCAUGGAAGGGCAGCUGCAAAAAAUAUAUCUUAUUAGUAAUUAGAAGAUGACAUCUAAGUAGAUAAUAUCGAAAAUAAAAUGCCUAGGGAAAAAAAAACCUCAUUAAUUUACAAGUUGCCAUUCAAAGCUAAAAGAGAUGCAUAGAGAGGUGGAAAAUGGCUGCUUCUGAAAAACCAACAUUGUUUCUUCAUCUUGUGUGAAGUUCAUGAAUUAGCAAAAUGUCCAAUGAAACCACUUUCUAUAACCACCAGAAAAGCGCAUCAAACCCACCAACAUUUUUCCAUUUCAAUGUAAACUUUAUAUUUACCAAUUGACCACCCAUACAUUCAGAAUUAUUUUGGUUUAUAACUGAAUUUUGAUUUAUUGAACUGCUGAAAAAGAUUUUUGGCUCUGCCAAUGAGUAAAAUAAACCACAUGAGAAAGCCUGAAUAAAGACUUGCUUGCAAGCACUUCAUAGCUAAGCUAACCUCCACUACAGACACUUGGUUGAUUGCCAUCACAUCAUAAAUGAGAUAUCUUCUCUCUUGCUUUCGUGUAUUAGAGUCGGUAUCAAUAACCAUCUCUCCAUCUAGUAAGGUGUAGUGGUGAAUCUGAUCAGGCACACCCUUAUUUGUGUGUUUGCAUGGAAACCGCAUAUCAACUCUUCGGAAGUAAAAAUUCCUGUCAAUCAAGUAGCAUCCAUCCCUAGUUAUUAGCAUCAUAUAUCUCGUUCCAUCAGCCUUCCAUGUGGCAUAAUAAUAUCGCUGUCUUAAGAGCUGUAAUUUGUCUCUGUUGAGAGAAACUGGGUGUGAUCCAGGAAAUUGUGGAUUUCCUCUUGCCGGAAGUCCUAAUUUAAGUAAUUGAUAGCAGAUUUGUCGCAUUGCUUGUAGUUGGUCAAAAGACACCACAUCUCCCAGCAGAUCAUCAUUCGUCAUUUCAAGAUCUCGCUUGCAAUUCUCAAGCAAAGGAGUUGCCCCAUUAUUAUGAUCUUGUACAGCUUCACUGUAAAAGUCAGGAUCAGAAGAUCUUUUCCACUCCGGAGUUUGAGGGCAAACAAUUGACUCUGGCUUCUCUUCAUGAUAAAAUGUAUAUAAUGAGUCAAUAUAGUCUUGUUUAUAAAUUCCUGGAGGGCGGGCCCCAGCAAAUAUGUUUAUCGCCUCAGUGACAGAAAUUGAUUUUGUACGCUUAAGAAAAUGAGCAAUCAUAUAACCUGUGCGGUUAUGACCAUGUGUGCAAUGGACAAGAAUAUAUUUCUCUGCGUGUCUCACUCGGGAGCGAAAUUGUAAAACCUAAGAAGAAGAAGCAAAAAGUUUGAAUCAGAAUUAUGGAGGAGGAGGAGUGGGGCGGUGGGUGGGCUGGGGAAGGGGAGAGGAGGAGGACUGAGGCUCCUUUCUUCCAGUAAUAGCUAUCGAUCCAUCAUUCCAGGCACUAACCAAGAGAUGGCUCCUCAUACCACCACGAAAUUGUCAAGUAAGCAAUGAGGUCAAAAGAUAAUUAAUACAAUGCAAAACAUCAGAGGAAAAGGCAUGCAAAAUUUUUUUCUAUGGGAAGCAUAAUUACUAUGAUAAAAAAACCUACCUCAUAGACAAACUUAUUUACAGACGCAUCAUCAGGUACAGAAUCCCUGCCCUUACAUCUAAUCUUAAUAUGGUCAAUUCCUUCUUCUGACCAGGCUGAUAAGGUGUAGUAACGAUUAGUGUUUGUUAGAUCAAUCACUAAACCAAGUUCUCUUCCAAGUUGUCUUUGUUCAUAUAUCACAUGUUUGGGUGUGUAUCUUUUGCUCGGAAGGUAUUGAUUGAAGGACUCACCAAGUGGAACUUUUGAAGGAAUUAUACAAUCUAUGGCUUGACCAUAUGCAGGGCAAUCUAACCAACCAGGGGGAAGCACGUUUCCAUCAUAGGAUCCACUGUUUCCAAAUUUAAAUCGUCGAUCAUUCAUAAAUGAGGGAGAGAUAUGCACUUGACCCUCGCCUGGGAAUUUCCUUUUUGUCCUCCAUUGUCUUCCUUCACUAUCUGCUGGUUCUACAUGCGCCGGCCCUGCAACUCUGUCCGCAAUCUCUUCAUACUUCUUGGAUUGCCCGGAGCCAUUUGAAUCCAUGGUGAAAUCACUAAAUUAGGUAUCUGCUUGAAAUUGUGACUCUGUUCAAGCAUCAACAAACCAAUGCGAAUUAGAUUGCAUCUACUGCAACUACAAGAAUCGAGCUCAAUGAGUUUAUGACUAUAUAUAGUGAUUUCCGUAUUGAAUUAAUGAACAUUUGCAGUCGAUUGAGAAUUAAAAAGAAAAUCUCAUACAGUUUAAA
rnacentral:misc_RNA from 1 species